rnacentral:rRNA from 1 species
GUUUGAUCAUGGCUCAGAACGAACGUUGGCGGCGUGGAUUAGGCAUGCAAGUCGAACGAGAAAGGUUUCGCAAGAGACCGAGUAAAGUGGCGGAAGGGCGAGUAAUGCAUAGAUGACCUACCCUCGAGAUGGGGACAACCAUUCGAAAGGAUGGCUAAUACCCAAUAAGACCACGGGUCGCAUGGCCUGUGCUUAAAGAUGGGGACCCGCAAGGGCCUUUCGCUCGAUGAGGGGUUUAUGUCCUAUCAGCUUGUUGGUGGGGUAAUGGCCCACCAAGGCUUUGACGGGUAGCCGACCUGAGAGGGUGACCGGCCGCACUGGGACCGAGACACUGCCCAGACUCCUACGGGAGGCUGCAGUCGAGGAUCUUCCGCAAUGCGCGAAAGCGUGACGGAACGACGCCGCGUGGGUGAUGAAGGCCUUCGGGUUGUAAAGCCCUGUCGACUGGGAAGAAUGGCGGGAGGUUAAUAGCCAUCUCGUCUGACGCUACCAGUAAAGGAAGCACCGGCUAAAUACGUGCCAGCAGCCGCGGUAAUACGUAUGGUGCGAACGUUGUUCGGAAUCACUGGGCAUAAAGAGCACGUAGGCGGUCGGGCAAGUCCAUUGUGAAAUCCCCCGGCUUAACCGGGGAACUGCAAUGGAUACUACUCGGCUAGAGUGUAGGAGGGGAGAGUGGAAUUCCUGGUGGAGCGGUGAAAUGCGUAGAUAUCAGGAGGAACGCCGGCGGCGAAAGCGACUCUCUGGUCUACUACUGACGCUGAGGUGCGAAAGCUAGGGGAGCAAACGGGAUUAGAUACCCCGGUAGUCCUAGCCCUAAACGAUGGGCACUAAGUAGGGGAAAUCCUAUAUUUUCCCUGCCGGAGUUAAUGCAUUAAGUGCC